GGUCAAGCUACAAAGGGCUCACGGUGGAUACCUUGGCACACAGAGGCGAUGAAGGACGUGGUUACCUGCGAUAAGUCUCGGGGAGCUGGAAACACGCUUUGAUCCGGGAAUUUCCGAAUGGGGCAACCCUUAAUAUCGGCCAGCUGAAUCCAUAGGCUGGUGCGAGCCAACCCAGCGAACUGAAACAUCUUAGAGCGAGAAGAA
rnacentral:rRNA from 1 species